CUACGGGACGCUGCAGUGAGGAAUAUUGCACAAUGGGGGGAACCCUGAUGCAGCAACGCCGCGUGGAGGAUGACGCAUUUCGGUGUGUAAACUCCUUUUAUAUGUCAAGAAAAUGACGGUAGCAUAUGAAUAAGCACCGGCUAACUCCGUGCCAGCAGCCGACGGUAAUACGGAGGGUGCAAGCGUUACUCGGAAUCACUGGGCGUAAAGGACGCGUAGGCGGGCUUGUAAGUCAGGUGUGAAAUCCUACAGCUUAACUGUAGAACUGCACUUGAAACUACGAGCCUAGAGUAUGGGAGGGGGAGAUGGAAUUAGUGGUGUAGGGGUAAAAUCCGUAGAUAUCACUAGGAAUACCUAAAGCGAAGGCGAUCUCCUGGAACAUAACUGACGCUAAGGCGUGAAAGCGUGGGGAGCAAACAGGAUUAGAUACCCGAGUAGUC
rnacentral:rRNA from 1 species